AUUGAACGCUGGCGGCAGGCCUAACACAUGCAAGUCGAACGAGUGGCGGACGGGUGAGUAAUGUCUGGGAAACUGCCCGAUGGAGGGGGAUAACUACUGGAAACGGUAGCUAAUACCGCAUACCAUCGGAUGUGCCCAGAUGGGAUUGGCUAGUAGGUGGGGUAACGGCUCACCUAGGCGACGAUCCCUAGCUGGUCUGAGAGGAUGACCAGCCACACGGGAACUGAGACACGGUUCAGACUCCUACGGGGGGCAGCAGUGGGGAAUAUUGCACAAUGGGCGCAAGCCGGAGGCAGCCAUGCCGAGUGUAGGAAGAAGGCCUUCGGGUUGAAAAGUACUUUCAGCGAGGAGGCGUGACUCGCAGAAGAAGCACCGGCUAACUCCGUGCCAGCCGCCGCGGUAAUC
rnacentral:rRNA from 1 species